ACUCAAAGGAAUAGACGGGGACCCGCACAAGCGGUGGAGUAUGUGGUUUAAUUCGAUGCAACGCGAAGAACCUUACCACCUUUUGACAUCCUGAUAGCUGUUAGCAGAAAUGCUUUCGUCGGUUCGGCCGGAUCAGUGACAGGUGUUGCAUGGCUGUCGUCAGCUCGUGUCGUGAGAUGUUGGGUUAAGUCCCGCAACGAGCGCAACCCUCAUCCUUAGUUACCAGCGGGUUAUGCCGGGCACUCUAAGGAAACUGCUCGUGAUAAGCGAGAGGAAGGUGGGGAUGACGUCAAGUCAUCACGGCCCUUACAAGGUGGGCUACACACGUACUACAAUGGUGGGGACAAUGGGUUGCUACAUAGCGAUAUGGUGCUAAUCUCUAAAAGCCACCUCAGUUCAGAUUGGAGUCUGCAACUCGACUCCAUGAAGUCGGAAUCGCUAGUAAUCGUGGAUCAGCAUGCCACGGUGAAUACGUUCCCGGGUCUUGCACACACCGCCCGU
rnacentral:rRNA from 1 species